rnacentral:rRNA from 1 species
AGUGAACGCUGGCGGUAGGCCUAACACAUGCAAGUCGAACGGCAGCACAGUAAGAGCUUGCUCUUACGGGUGGCGAGUGGCGGACGGGUGAGGAAUACAUCGGAAUCUACUUUUUCGUGGGGGAUAACGUAGGGAAACUUACGCUAAUACCGCAUACGACCUACGGGUGAAAGCAAGGGAUCUUCGGACCUUGCGCGAUUGAAUGAGCCGAUGUCGGAUUAGCUAGUUGGCGGGGUAAAGGCCCACCAAGGCGACGAUCCGUAGCUGGUCUGAGAGGAUGAUCAGCCACACUGGAACUGAGACACGGUCCAGACUCCUACGGGAGGCAGCAGUGGGGAAUAUUGGACAAUGGGCGCAAGCCUGAUCCAGCCAUACCGCGUGGGUGAAGAAGGCCUUCGGGUUGUAAAGCCCUUUUGUUGGGAAAGAAAAGCAGCAGGUUAAUACCCCGCUGUCCUGACGGUACCCAAAGAAUAAGCACCGGCUAACUUCGUG